rnacentral:rRNA from 1 species
AUUGAACGCUGGCGGCAUGCUUUACACAUGCAAGUCGAACGGUAGAGGGGGCAACCCCUUGAGAGUGGCGAACGGGUGAGUAAUGCAUCGGAACGUGCCCAGUCGCGGGGGAUAACGCAGCGAAAGCUGUGCUAAUACCGCAUACGAUCUCUGGAUGAAAGCGGGGGACCGAAAGGCCUCGCGCUAUUGGAGCGGCCGAUGUCAGAUUAGGUAGUUGGUGGGGUAAAGGCCUACCAAGCGAACGAUCUGUAGCUGGUCUGAGAGGACCCACAGCCACACUGGGACUGAGACACGGCCCAAACUCCUACGGAGGGCAGCAGUGGGGAAUUUUGGACAAUGGGCGCAAGCUUGAUCCAGCAAUGCCGCGUGCAGGAAGAAGGCCUUCGGGUUGUAAACUGCUUUUGUACGGAACGAAACGGUCUGGGUUAAUACCCUGGGCUAAUGACGGUACCGUAAGAAUAAGCACCGGCUAACUACGUGCCAGCCGCCGCGGUAA